GUGCCAGCAGCCGCGGUAACACGGGGGGAACGAGCGUUGUUCGGAUUUACUGGGCGUAAAGGGUGCGUAGGCGGGUUGGCAAGUCGGGUGUGAAAUUCCAUAGCUUAACUAUGGACCUGCAUUCGAAACUGUUGAUCUUGAGUACUGGAGAGGUGAGUGGAAUUCUCGGUGUAGCGGUGAAAUGCGUAGAUAUCGAGAGGAACACCGUUGGCGAAGGCGGCUCACUGGACAGAUACUGACGCUGAGGCACGAAGGUCGGGGGAGCAAACAGGAUUAGAAACCCUCGUAGUCC
rnacentral:rRNA from 1 species